rnacentral:ncRNA from 1 species
UCGAAUAUGGUUGGGUCAGGUGUCUUAGACUUAAUAGGGAAGCCGGUAUAAGCCGGCGCGGUCCCGCCACUGUAACAGGGAGUUUAUCUGCAUAGUUAUGUCACUGGGAGUUCAUCCUGGGAAGGCGCAGAUAAAUGUUGAUCUGGAGCCAGGAGAACUGCCUGAUUAACAAUCGCCGU